rnacentral:tRNA from 1 species
AAAGGGUAUAGUUUAAUUGGCAAAACUAUUGAUUUCAAAUCAAUCAUUGGGAGUUCAAGUCUCUCUGUCCUUG